rnacentral:lncRNA from 1 species
GACCGGGGGUGGCGGUGGCCGGUACAGCGGCGGUGGUGUUGGCAAUAUUGGAAGUGAAGGCGGCACGUUUGGGGGUGGUGGCGAAGAGGAUGGAGACCAACACACAUCUGGAGCAGUAGCCGGAGGGAACUUGUUGGUGGCCGGAAAAUUUGCCUCGAAGGAGGAUUGCAGGCUGUAGAUGGAGACUCGAAGCUUUUCAAGGGCGGCGAGAAUUUCUGAUCUGGACAUUUUUUUUUUUUGAUAUUCAAAGAGAAAUUCUCUCAAUGAAAGCACCAAUUGAUACGAUCACGAUCAAUGGUGGAGCAAUUCGAGUAGCUCAACUCCAGAAAUCAAGGGAGAAGAGAGAUAGAUUUGAUAAACAUCAACCCAAAU